CACGCCGUAAACGAUGAGUGCUAGGUGUCGCGGGUAUUGACCCCUGCGGUGCCGCAGUUAACGCAUUAAGCACUCCGCCUGGGGAGUACGGUCGCAAGACUAAAACUCAAAGGAAUUGACGGGGGCCCGCACAAGCGGUGGAGCAUGUGGUUCAAUUCGACGCAACGCGCAGAACCUUACCUGGGUUAAAUGCCCUCGAACCCCGCAGAAACGUGGGGGUGCCCGCAAGGGAGCGAGGAGCAAGGUGC
rnacentral:rRNA from 1 species